rnacentral:lncRNA from 1 species
UGGUGAUCCAAUUUGUUUUGACCCUGACAGAAAGUGCCUUCUGGAAGUGGUCUCACACUCUUUAAUUUAACCUUUGUUUCACACUUUUUUUUCCAACUACCCUGAGCAAUGGUUUUAGUCAAAAGUAUCCUAAUUCACUCUUCUACCUCCCUACUUCUAACUAAAUUCUCCAGCCAAGUACCGUCAACAGGAAAGGAAGAAGAAAGCAAUGGCAUCUGCCACAUGGCACUUAAUAAAUGCUUGUGGAUUGAAUGACUGAUUAAGAUGGAACUGCAAAGAAUCUUGCUGGACAGCCUUUGAUAAGAUGAUGAAUCUGAGUCCUAAGGAGAUCAAGUGAUAUGUUCAAGGCCAAAGAGAGAAUAAAUAACUCAAUCAACCCCA